CCAAAUCAUAAAUAUUCAUUCCAUAUAAAUGGAAAUAAAUAAAUAGAUAAGCUUUAAUUCAAUAAUAGAGCUUAAGAAUUUAGUUAGGUGUAAUAUAAGAAAACUUAAAACAAAGGAAAAUGAUAUUUCAACCGAAAUGUCUCACCGAAUACUUUGGCAGAACUACGUGACAUGUCCAGCUAGACAACUUCCAUCUCUUUCUCUUUCAUCUCUUCUCUCUCCUUCUCAUUUUCUCUCUCUAAUAUCUCACUCACCUGGAAAGAAGCAAGAAGUGGGUUUGUUCUGAAGCUGGUUCGUCCACGUGAGUGACCUUCCCCACAACUAUCUGGAGUUGCCAGAGAUUGAACCAGUAAUCUCUCCUCCGCCACUGUCACCGCCAUUCUCCUCCACAACCACCAUUGCUCCUCUCUUUCUAAGAUUCCCGAUCUAAAUCCUCUUCAAACCCUAGUUUUCUGACCAAAAUCAAAUUCCCCCUAAACUAUUGAAGCUUAUGAAGGGUCCGACAAUUAGGUGCAGCAAUAGGUUUGUCUUAUCGUUCGCUCUACCAUUCAUAUUCUUCAUCUAAGGAUAAAAGAACGAAAGAAAGCGAAAAUUCAUACCUAAAAGCCAAGGUGGAAGGGGAGUUCGAAAAGGCGCGGAGACUUUGCUUUUCGCCUACCUUCCUUGAGAAGACGGAGUUGAUGUAGUAGCAGCUCUCUUGUAAAUGGAUUGUUCGGGUUGAUGGGCAGUGAUGAGGACGGCGGCGAUAGUGGUUACAGUGGUUGAUUUUUCAGAGAUGAUGGGUUUGGUGUUGGUGGGUGGUGUGACGAUGACGAAGACGAGCUGAAUGGAGAAGACGAAGUAGGUGGUGUCGACGGUGAACCCCCAAGUAACCUGCAAUUUUACAACUGUAUUCACUAAUUGACCUUCUGAAGUUCCUAAUUUGAUUUACUCAAUCCAAUACAUGUAUUUUGUCUAAAUAUAGUAGCUGCGCAAGUAGUUGAAAUUGGUGUCGAUGAAACUGCAUUGGUGGUGUUGGGGCCGAAGAGUUAGGCCCUAGAGAGAGAAAGGGAGAGGCGACACUCCCUCUUACAAACUUUUUUGCAAGAUGUCGGCAUCGUAGCUUGGAUGAUGAUCAAUUGAGUUUGGCCAUUGGGUCAAUUGUUGCAUCAGACAGAACUCUUCCAUGUUAUCAAAUUGAUGAUAAAAUGUAUGUAAAUCGUAGCUUGGAUGAUAGCACAAGAUAGAGAAAACCAUUACAUGUGCUUAAUACUUUGUGAAAUGGGAUUCAUCUUUUAUUA